GCCUGCCUCCCUCCCGCCCGCCGCUGCCUCCCCCCGCGUCCCAAACUGCGCACAAUAGCGGCCGGCUCCUCUAUCUAUUUUGUGUCCAGCCGGAGCCGCGCGCGAUGAUUCAUUGCCCCAAUUAGGGGCUCUCUCCAGCGCGCCCGGCUCAAGCCGUCUGAAGGGUCUCCUGGGGGACCCGCCGAAACCCAUCAGCGGCUGGAGCUGGUCUUUAAGUAAAGGUCAAGCAGGACGCGGGAGGAGCCAGGGGCCAAACAGGAUUCAGACCCAGGACGUCGGGCUCCAGGCCCUACUCUUGACCACCAGGGCGAGUAGCCGUGCGAGGCAAACGUCUGGUCCACGUCGCAGGUCUGCUGAUGGGGACGGUCCAUGGCAGGACAAGGCCAGGAUCCCUGGGUCCUCCCGGAUGAUAUGGCUCAGGCCCUGGUCCAAUCCAGGCAUCUCCAGACCUCUCAUUUCCCAUCUGUGAAAUGGCACCGCUUCCAGCUUCAAAAUUCUACACGUCUCUGACUUCUGGGCCGUUUACAGCUUCCUCAUUUGCAAGCAGCAGCCCAGAGUCAGCCUGGGGACAAAGGUACCCGGUGGUCCCUUCCACCCUCUGGGACACUGAAAUGUAAAUAAAACUGGGCUUCCUCUUGGCAAGGAAGAGGGCCAUGCAUUGUAAAUAAAUGCAAGAAGGAGGCCUCCAGAUUCCCUGGGGGAUAUUCUAGGGCUCGCGGUCCAAGGGUUAACAGGAAAUCAUCAUUGGUUGGGACUUUGGGCCUUCACCCUGGCCCAGAGGAAUGCUGUGUCAGCAAAACUGUCCCGAAGGAAUGUUGGGGGCGGGGCAGGGGGCUUCUUGGCUCCUGGCAUUUUUAAUACCUGGAGAGCGGAGGAGGGCUGAUUCGGAGAAGUUUAAAGGGCAGUGUCUGUUGAAUUGCAUCCUUGCACAGUUCAAGAGGGACUAUUAGGUCCCACACAGACUGAGAGAUUGCUAGUAAGGCACUGCCUGACUGGGGACAUGCAGGCCAGCGGUGGUUGAAGAGGUUCUCCUGCCGCCUGUCCACACUGCAGGGCGCACUGCAGGGUGGCAGGGAGGGCCACUGUGUUGAGGUCACGCACAGAGUCUGAGGGAGAAGGAUCACGGGGCCAACCAGACCAAAAGAGAGAGGACUUGAAAAGCAUUGAGAGAUGCUCAUAGACAGACCCUGCGUUGGGAGCAGGUUAAACAUGCCCACCUGGAUUCUGCAGGAGACAAGGAGGCCAUCAGCGUAGAACACCUGGGCACAUCUCAGAUUUGCAGCUACCUGUAGGUUCAUCUUAGCCCAGAAACCGCAGGAAUCUGCCCUCAUCCCGCCCGGGAGAGCUCAUUUCCAGCCUCCAAAUGCUUAACCACACAUUGUUUUGCAUAUCUGUCUCUGUGCCUGCCUCUCCCACUGGGGCAGAGCCUGAGCUGGCUUGCCUUGCCCUGCCCCACAGUUUCACAAGGAUGUGGACAUGGUAGGGGACCAAUCGGUGCUUGAACCAGGGACGCCGCUAGACUCUAUCCAAAACCUCACUCAUUAUGCCUUCCAAGUUCCAGAAUCAUCCAGCUGCCUGGCCAGUUUCGACUGCGCCAUCUUUUAUUCCUCUUGAGUGCCAGCAAUCAAGAUUAAACUCUGUCAUGUGCCCCUGGCUUUUCCCAACCCUGCAACCCGACUUCCCUUCUCACUGGGCCUUUUGCCCUUUUCCUCCUUCCUCUAAACUGUGCCUGCGCCUUUGGCAUCCUGCCCAGGGCCCAUUUACCUUCUUAGGCUGGUCCAUCCUCCUCUUUUCAGAGGCGACGUGUGCUGUGUUUGGCCUCUGGCUCACUGGGGACCAGAAAAACAAAAUUUAUCAUCUGACUGCCCUAUUUUUUCUUUUUUCUUUCUUUCUUUUUUUU